UACGAAGGGGGCUAGCGUUGCUCGGAAUGACUGGGCGUAAAGGGCUCGUAGGCGGUCUGUCGCGUCGGGAGUGAAAACUCAGGGCUUAACCCUGAGCCUGCUUCCGAUACGGGCAGACUAGAGGUAUGCAGGGGAGAACGGAAUUCCUGGUGUAGCGGUGGAAUGCGCAGAUAUCAGGAGGAACACCGGUGGCGAAGGCGGUUCUCUGGGCAUUACCUGACGCUGAGGAGCGAAAGUGUGGGGAGCGAACAGG
rnacentral:rRNA from 1 species